CACAACAAAAGAAAGAAAAUAAAACAAGUAAAGUUGCUGGAACUGAGGCACAAAUCGAUGUCGCAGCACUUCGCGUGUGUAGCUUCAAGCGAAACAAAGACUUUGUUGUGCUGGUCAAAUUCUUAGGGCCUUGCCAGGAGAGGGGCACGCCGGGCACGUGCUGAAGUGCCGUUGAAGAGCCCGGAACAAGCCGGCAGUCAAGAGGGAAGCGUCCAGAGAGCGAACGACGUCACCCACUUCGAAUGUUAUCACUCGACUGAAUGGGCGUUAUCAGCCCCAUAGAUAUGGGUCAGAAGCGCCCUACUGCACCUACUGGUAGGUUUAGAAGGCCGUUAUCAUCCAUUCACAUGGUUAAUCACCGAUACUAACAGAAGAGAAGACUCCAGAUCCUGUCCAACAGGAAUCCAGCUCACCGCUGACCGGGAAAUUUUCAAGUUGAAGAUGGCCCAUAGAGAACUGGAUUGGUAACUACAAAAGGUCCAAAGCUGCUUCUGAGCCCCGGCACAAUGAACGAUAUUAAGGGCAAGUGGUCCACAUUAGGGAAAGACAAGAAGCAGAAAUAUUUUCAAGAGGCAGAAGGACUGAGGGCAUAUGGGCAGGCACAGGACCUUAGCCCUGAGAUGAGGGAGCUCAAAAUUAAAAUGCAUCUGAAGAAGCUGAAGUUUGAGGUUUGGAAAGAAGCUUCAUAUGCUUGACAUUAGUGGUAUGAGUUGGCGCUAUAGUAGCAUUAUAGUUUUUCUGUAGAUUCUUUCAUCAUUUUAAAUAAAUUCAUCCCAAAUAAACAUUAAUAUUAAUUAAGUCAUCAAAUGAUUACCAUACUCAAAGUAUGUCAUCCAAAUGUAUGUAAUGAGCAAUUACAUUACAUUUACACUCACCUAAAGGAUUAUUAGGAACACCAUACUAAUACUGUGUUUGACCCCCUUUCGCCUUCAUAACUGCCUUAAUUCUACGUGGCAUUGAUUCCACAAGGU